rnacentral:lncRNA from 1 species
GUUUGGUAUUAGGCUCAGUAAGGGUUGGCUGUUAUAGGCGCUAUUACUUAUUUGAGACCAGCUGCAGCAGAUACAUUUACAUUACCUCCUUAGUUUUUAGAGGUGUCCAAAAUUAGCCCCUGAAGGUUUGAGCUUCAUAGCUUUGGCCCAAUAUAGCUCAGCUCUUACUGCCCUGCUGACUCAGAAAUGCUGUCUCUUUCUUACACUCCUCCUCUAAAGGACCUGCCAUGCCUAAGACGAAGAGAGGCAUCCAUUACCGUCACAGAGCAGGGGACUGGGUGCUGCUAAAGGUGGCUACACGGUUUACGUGCGUAGAUCUACGCGCGGGCCUGUUAGUGGGUGGACUUUUUUUUUUGGGGCAGCGAACUCUUUUCGUUGCGUUCCAGCCAGAGAGGAAGUCCACUUUGUGUAGUGUUUAUCCACUAGGGGGCUUGGGGAGCUAGAGUAGCUUACCAAGCAAGAGGGGUCGAGGCACUCUUUUUGACUAGCUAGCAACGACAUUUGAACUUCCGGAUCCGGUGCUAUAUGCCUGUUUACAAAUACUAGCUAGCUAGCUAGCUACAUGUUAGGCAAGUCUGGUGUUCUAUCUUUUACGACGCUACUUUUUAGCCACAGAAACAGAAGCAAACAUGUCUGUCUAUGAACUGCAAUUGCUAGAGUUUGAACAGCAAGAGCUUGAACUGCUCUUAUUACUAAGGAGGAGAAGAAAAAAAAACAGAGAAAAUGGCGAGUUCGUCCACUGAACACUACAAGAGGGGACGAUGGGAGAAUACUCAUCUCUUGUCCAACCUAUGCGAAGCAUUGAUUAGGAAAGACAUUUUAAAUACUUUCUUCAGCGGCUUGCACCUCACAUCUCGCAGGAAAGAACUCACAGCUUGCCCGUAAUUGCUACAGGAAGGCUCUCUGUGACCCUUCGGUUUUUGGCAAGUGGUAGCACACAGCAAAGUUAUAAGCUAGGAAUCUCGACAAUUUGUGCCAUCAUCAUGAAAUUGUGCCAAGCUAUCUGGCAUGUCCUGAAGAGGGAUUUUGUUGCUUAUCCCUCCGUGGAAAAAUGGGCUUCACCAUGAUUGACGUAGGCACAUAGUCAGGAAGGAGAUGCAGGAAUCUUCUCAUGAAGCAAGUUCGGCUCUCAAUUCAUAGCAGGCCAGCUGCCGCUACAAGGCCAGAGUGCUUGCCCAAACACCGAGCCCACAUGUCUUUGUAUGAGACGAGGCAUUCCAUCUGAUGGUAAACCUGAUGCGACCAUAUCCAGAAGAUCUACAACUACCACCACUCAAGAGCCAGAAGAAUUUCAGAGCUCUGCUUUGGGAUCCUUCCUGCAAGAUGGAGGAUCCUGAGAGAAGCCCUUGAGGUUGUCCCAGAGAAACCUGAGACCAUUAUGAAGGCCUGUGUGGCCAUCAAUAAUUACAUUUACACUACAAACACUGACAACAGAGUCAUCAACCCCACGUUUGUUGUCCACUCCACAACCACUGGGGACCUGCAUCCAGAAGAGUGGAGACAGGUGGUACAAGUGGACACUAGUUUCCUGGACCCAAAAAACAUGUCGGCAGACAAGGCAACCAGGGUUGCUAUAUAUGUGCGCAACAACCUCAAGGACUACUUCCUCACACCAGCUGGUAAAGUGUCUUUCCAGGAUGCUGCCAUGACGCGUGGCACCUUACAGUAAAUUCUGGAGUGUGGUUUGGAAAACAUGUACACAUACAGUGCAUUCGGAAAGUAUUCAGACCCCUUGACUUUUUUCACAUUUUGUUAUGUUACAGCCUCAUUCUAAAACGGAUGAUUUUUUUUUUUAAAUGUAGCAAUCCUCAUCAAUCUACACAAUACCCCAUAAUGACAAAGUGAAAACAUACUUUUAGAAAUGUUUGCAAGUGUAUAAAACUUUUAAAACAGAAAUACGUUAUUUACAUACAGUUGAAGUCCGAAGUUUACAUACACCUUAGCCAAAUUAAACUCAGUUUUUCACAAUUCCUGGCAUUUAAUCCAAGUAAAAAUUCCCUGUUUUAGGUCAGUUAGGAUCACCACUUUAUUUUAAGAAUGUGAAAUGCCAGAAUAAUGGUAGAGAAUUAUUUCUUUCAGCUUUGAUUUAUUUCAUCACAUUCCCAGUGGGUUAGAAGUUUACAUACACUCAAUUAGUAUUUGGUAGCAUUGCCUUUAAAUUGUUUAACUUGGGUCAAACGUUUCAGGUAGCCUUCUACAAGCUUCCCACAAUAAGUUGGGUGAAUUUUGGCCCACUCCUCCUGACAGAGCUGGUGUAACUGAGUCAGGUUUGUAGGCCUCCUUGCUCACACACACUUUUUCAUUACCUUGACUUUGUUGUCCUUAAGCCAUUUUGCCACAACUUUGUAAGUAUGCUUGGGAUCAUUGUCCAUUUGGAAGACCCAUUUGCGACCAAGCUUUAACUUCCUGACUGAUGUCUUGAGAUGUUGCUUCAAUAUAUCCACAUAAUUUUCCUACCUCAUGAUGCCAUCUAUUUUGUGAAGUGCACCAGUCCCUCCUGCAGCAAAGCACCCCCCACAACAUGAUGCUGGCACCCCCAUGCUUCACGGUUGGGAUGGUGUUCUUCAGCUUGCAAGCCUCCCCUUUUUCCUCCAAACAUAAUGAUGGUCAUUUUGGCCAAACAGUUCUAUUUUUGUUUCAUCAGACCAGAGGACAUUUCUCCAAAAAGUACGAUCUUUGUCCCCAUGUGCAGUUGCAAACCGUUGUCUAGUUUCUUUAUGGUAGUUUUGGAGCAGUGGCUUCUUCCUUGCUGAGUGGCCUUUCAGGUCAUGUCAAUAUAGAACUCGUUUUACUGUGGAUAAAGAUACGUUUGUACCCGUUUCUUCCAGCAUCUUCACAAGGUCCUUUGCUGUUGUUCUGGGAUUGAUUUGCACUUUUCUCACCAAAGAACGUUCAUUUCUAGGAGACAGAAUGCGGCUCCUUCCUGAGCAGUAUGACAGCUGCGUGGUCCCAUGGUGUUUAUACUUGCGUACUGUUGUUUGUACAGAUGAACGUGGUACCUUCAGGCAUUUGUAAAUUGCUCCCAAGGAUGAACCAGACUUGUGGAGGUCUACAAUGUUUUUUCUGAGGUCUUGGCUGAUUUCUUUUGAUUUUCCCAUGAUGUCAAGCAAAGAGGCACUGAGUUUGAAGGUAGGCCUUGAAAUACAUCCACAGGUACACCUCCAAUUGACUCAAAUGAUGUCAAUUAGCCUAUCAGAAGCUUCUAAAGCCAUUACACCAUUUUCUGGAAUUUUCCAAGCUGUUUAAAGGCACAGUCAACUUAGUGUAUGUAAACCUCUGACCCACUGGAAUUGUGAUGCAGUGAAUUAUAAGUGAAAUAAUCUGUCUGUAAACAAUUGUUGGAAAAAUUCCUUGUGUCAUGCACAAAGUAGAUGUCCUAACCGACUUGCCAAAACUAUAAUUUGUUCAAAAGAAAUUUGUGGAGUUGUUGAAAAACAACUUUUAAUGACUCCAACGUAAGUGUAUGUAAACUUCCGACUUCAACUGUAAGCAUUCAGACCCUUUUGCUAUGAGACUCGAAAUUGAGCUCAGGUGCUUAAGAUAGUAUUUCUACAACUUGAUUGGAGUCCACCUGUGGUAAAUUCAAUUGAUUGGACAUGAUUUGGAAAGGCACACACCUGUCUACAUUAGGUCCCACAGUUGACAGUGCAUAUCAGAGUAAAAACCAAGCCGUGAGGUCGAAGGAAUUUUCCGUAGAGCUCAGAAUUGUGUCGAGGCACAGAUCUGGGGAAAGGUAUUAAAAAAUGUCUGCAGCAUUGGAAGUCCCCAAGAACACAGAGGCCUCCAUCAUUCUUAAAUGGAAGAAAUUUUGCAACCACCAAGACUCUUCCUAGAGCUGGUUGCCCGGACAAGAACCCAAGAACCCAAUGGUCACUCUGACAGAGCUCCAGAGAUCCUCUGUGGAGAUGAGAGAACCUUCCAGAAGGACAACCAUCUUUGCAGCACUCCACCAAAUCAGGCCUUUACGGUAAAGUGGCAAGACGGAAGCCACACCUCAGUAAAAAGCACAUUACAGCCCACUUGGAGUAAACCUGUCACCAUCCAGGGACUGGGAGACUAAUCAGGCUCGAAGGAAAGAUGAACAGAGCAAAGUAACGGAGCUCAGGUGCAUUCUGUUUCCAUUGAUCAAAGGCAAACCUGGAUCAGUCUGCUUUCCACAAGACACUGGGAGAUGAAUUCACCUUUCAGCACGACAAUAACCUAAAACACACGGCCAAAUCUCCAAGUUGCUUACCAAGAAGACAGUGAAUGUUCUUGAGUGGCUGAGCUACAGUUUUGAAUUAAAUCUACUUGAAAAUAUAUGGCAAGACCUGAAAAUGGUUGUCUGGCAAUGAUCACCAACCAAUUUCACAGAGCUUGAAGAGUUAUGAAAAUAAUAAAAUGGGCAAAUGUUGCACAAUCCAGUUGUGGAAAGCUCUUAAAGAAUUACCCAGAAGGACAGCUGUAAUCACUGCCAAAGGAGUUUCUACAAAGUAUUGACUCAGGUGUGAAUACUUAUUUAAAUGAGAUAUUUCUGUAUUUAAUUUUCAAUAAAUGUGCAAAAAAUUCUAAAAACCUGUUUUCACUUUGUCGUUAUGGGUUGUUGUGUGUAGAUGGGUGAGAAAAAAAUCAUAUUUAAUCCUUUUUGAAUUCAGGCUUUAACACAACAAAAUGUGGAACAGGUGAAGGGGUAUGAAUACUUUCUGAAGGCACUGUAGUGUGUUAUUAUAUAUUUUCUACAGUGCCUGUCACUCAAAGGGAGAUUUCCUUCUUGGAGGACAUGACUCUCCUCAUCAAGCAAUUUCAAAAUGUCUUCCUAUAGUAUACUGUAUCUUGCCAAAACGGUGCUCUGUGGAGUGAUAUUCAGCCGGACAUACAGUUCAGUGCAAGUCUCUCCAUCUAAGGUCAAAAACAUUUUACAAAUAGUGCUGUAUAACCGAAAGAUGUAAUGGCUUGUCAUGUCAACCGUCCUAGUCAAUACCACACAUCACAUUCAUUACUCUACAAUUUUGGAAAAGAGAGAGAAAGUGUGAGAUGAUCAAAAUGUGGAACAUAGACAGCGCCCCAUUUUAUGAAACCCCUGUUCUGAACUAUGUUCUGUACUCUUGAGAAGACUCUUGUACGUUUGGUGAGUGAAAUCCAGGAUGUUGGGCGAGCCCCCCCAUUGAUGGCCUAAAAUAGUAAUGUGCAGCGCUGCAAAGUAGAAUCCUCUCGCUCAUCCAUUAGCUGCUGUCACCUGCGUUUAUGUUAAAGAGACCUCUCCAAGCAGAUUCCAUUUAGUCCACACAAGAAGACAAAACGUGUUUUAAAGUCCUCCAUUCUCUGAAGGCUCACGAUGACCUCACUCUGACUUAGGCAAGACAUCACUUAGCUAUUUGUAAUGUGCUAUAGGUAGAGAAAGGCCAAUUGUAAAUGCUUAAUGGUACCUUUUCUAAGAGCAUUGUCAAAGAUAAGAGUAUUGUAACAUUAAGCAGAGGUAGACCCUUUAAAAUGAGAAAGAACUAAAUACAAAACGAAGUUGGGAAACCAGCUGUAAAAACAUAAUUGAAACAGACAAGGCCAGAAAAAAAAACUUCAGGAGAGUUGGAGAAUUCUUUCAUGACAUGUCAGGGGCUUCCACCAUAACAUAUAACCUGCGACUUGGUUUGGGGAUCCAGUUCAAAUAAACCAUUACACCACCAUUCUUGUGAUCCAGGCUCUGGGCUGUGUUUAAUGGAGCAUCCUGACAAAAAUAACCAAUAUCUAAACAUUGGCUACAUGGCAUUUUACCAAAAUAAUUUUAGAAAAAUAAUGGUUUCAGCUCUUUUGUCUGUUUGGUUAGCUUUUGAUUUUAUUUUUAGUUUCACAUUCAACAAUUGAUUUCACUCCACAUACUCAGAGCUUCAGUGCCUACACUUUGACAGUCUAUAUAACAUCAAUGUCUGUAGGGCCCCAGAGAUGUUGAUUUUUUGUUGUUGCUUAAACCAAAAAAGAUUCCUUUCCUGACAUGCAAAACAUUUUUCUAACUCUAUGCUUCCUCUCUCCAGUUUCUACAGCAGGAGUAGAAUUAGAUCCAUUUGGUUCAGAGCAGUUACUGCUUCAGUAUGGAUAUACUGUAAAUGAGAAAAAAGCAUGAUGCUAUCUGAACUCAGUCCAACUUCAGCCUUACUUAUCUUGGACUAGUUUUGAUGAGGAAAAGUCUGCAAACCAGACAGGGCCCAUUCACAGACAAUGGGUUUCUUCUAUCCCAAGAAUUUACUGCAUGCUGCUCUCAUUUUAUAGAUCCCUUAAUUCUGUUUAGUCUUGCAAUAUAACUCAAUAGGCAAUACCAUCAGAGACCAAUAUAAAUGUUUAAUAUUCAGCCAUUUCAAAAUAUAUAAUUAGCAACAUCUUGACAAAUCAACUUUCUGAAGAAUGCUGUGGGAUUGCACUGCUCAACCCUUGGUACCAUCUCCAGUCAAUCAUCAGAAAUGACAGUAAGACAUGUUACCAAGACAUUCCUUAGCACAAUAAUUAUGGAUACAUCUAUCACCAGCCAUUUACACUAAUGUCAGCCAUUUCUGAGUCAGAUCAGUUUAAUUUACAGAAUGAAACAUGACUGAACUAUCUCAUGUAAUCUGGUCAACGACACAAAAGCAUUCAGACAAUAGUCCAGUCAAAUUCUGAUAUUUGCUUUUACAAGGUGUAUGAAGUGCUACAUACUUUACGCCCCUCUCUAAUACUUGCACAUUGAUGAAUAUCACCUGUGUGCAUAAAUGAAAGCGAAACAUUGACCUAUUUUCAUCCAGUUUAGCCAUGGCUUGGCAUGGCCCCUUCUCUGUGAACUUGAGCAUGGAACAAAGCAGGGAGUAAAUUGCUGCCAGGCUGUGGGGAUUAGGCACGGCACAAGCUACAGUCCCUCUAAUAAAAACACUCCACACUGUUAAUGUAACACAUUUGGAGGGUCACAGUUCCCUGGUGUGGGUGCCUGGGAUUGCUGGAUGUCCACGAGCCUUUAAGCGCCUACAGGGGCCCUUCAAAGGUUCUCUGGAUAUUAAUGACAUACUCCCUUGUGUAAGAGAUCAGACGUCAAAACUAUUACCAGGUGCAGCUGGCCUCCAUACACGAGUGAGCAGGAUUGAUAGGGAUGAGUGGGCAAGAUCUCCACUUCUAUACUAGGCUUCCACUCUUACCUUUGGAUGGACCUAGUCAAGACUAGAGAAAAGUGAGUGUGUGAGUGAGUAUGAGAGAGUGAUGAGUGUGUGAGAGAGAGGAGGGGGUGGUGGUUCAUAAAAAUAUUAGGGCUGUCAAGUGAUAUUUCGUUAAUCGUUAAUCGCAGGAUUUGCUGUGAUUAAUCGCAAAUUCAGAAUUUUCUCAAAUUGAGCUGUAAUGUAAGAUUUUGUAUACAAAAAGCAUUACAAGAAUAUUGACAUCUUGAUUUUGUCCAAAGUAACAGUUUGCAAAAUCAGGUAAAUUGAUAAAGAACUCUUUCUUUAACCUCAAUGUCAACUUGUUUUGACAUUGCGUUGUUGUUUUUACAGUACAUGUAUAGAUGAUGUAUUGUGGAUGUUUUCAUUGUAUUUUAAACACUUUCAGACAAUGCAGUUAAUCACAAAAAAUGUCUUCACUAAAAUUACAAAAAGUAACUCGAGUUAACUGAUUCAUCCGACAGCCCUAAUAAAUAAAGUGCCUUCAGAAAGUAUUCACACCCCUUAACUUUUCCACAUUUUGUUGUUACAGCCUGAAUUUAAUAUUUAUUAAAUUGAGAUUUUUUUGUCACUGGCCUACACACAAUAAUGUCAACGUGGAAUUACGUUUAAUUUUUUUUUUGACAAAUUGAAAAAAUGAAAAGCUGAAAUGUCUUGAGUGAAUAAGUAUUCAACCCCUUUGUUAAGGCAAGGCUAAACAAGUUCAGGAGUAAAAAUGUGCUUAACAAGUCACAUAAUAAGUUGCAAGGACUCUGUGUUCAAUAAUAGUGUUUAAGAUAAUUUUUGAAUGACUACUUUAUCUCUACCUUGUUAUCUCUAUGGUCCCUCAGUCGAGCACUGAAUUUCAAACACAGAUUCAACCACAAAGACCAGGGAGGUUUUCCAAUACUUCCCAAAGAAGGGCACCAAUUGGCAGAUGGGUAAAAAAAAGCAGUCAAUGAAUAUCCCUUUGAGCAUGGUGAAGUUAUUAAUUACCAGUGGUGUAAAGUACUUAAGUAAAAAUACUUUAAAGUACUACUUAAGUCGUUUUUUUGGGGUAUCUGUACUUUAUUUUACUAUUUAUAUUUUUGAAUACUUUUAAUGCACUACAUUCCUUAAGAAAAUAUUAUACUUUUUACUCCAUACAUUUUCCUUGACACCCAAAAGUACUCGUUACAUUUUGAAUGCUUAGCAGGACAGGAAAAUGGUCCAAUUUACACACUUAUCAAGAGAACCUCCCUGGUCAUCCCUACUGCCUCUGAUCUGGCGGACUCACUUAACACACAUGCUUCGUUUGUAAAUUAUGUCUGAGUGUUUGAGCGUGCCCCUGGCUAUCCGUAAAUUAAAUUUAAAAAACAAGAAAAUGGUGCUGUCUGAUUUGCUUAAUAUUUGGAAUUUGAAACGAUUUAUACUUUUACUUUUGAUACUUAAGUAUAUUUUAAAACAAAUACUUUUAGAGUUUUACUCAAGUAGAAGUUUACUGGGUGACUUUUUAUUUUACUUGAAUCAUUUUCUUUUAAGGUAUCUUUACUUUUAAUGAAGUAUAUUAUAAUUGGCUACUUUUUCCACCACUGUUAAUUACACUUUGGGUGACAUAUUGAUACACCCAGUCACUACAAAGAUACAGGCUCCCUUCCUAACUCUGUUACCGGAGAGGAAAGAAACCACACAGGGAUUUCAUCAUGUGGCCAACGGUGACUUUAAAACUGUUACAGAGUUUAAUGUCUGUGAUAGGAGAAAACUGAGGAUGGAUCUACAACAUUACAGUUACUAACCUAAUUAACAGAGUGAAAAGAAGGAAACCUGUACAGAAUAAAAAUAUUCCAAAACAUACAUCCUGUUUGCAACAAGGCACUAAAGUAAUAAUGCAAAAAAUGUGGCAAAGCAAUUCACUUUUUGUCCUGAAUACAAAGUGUCAUGUUUGGGGCAAAUCCAAUACAACACAUUACUGAGUACCACUCUCCAUAUUUACAAGCAUAGGGAUCUGCAUUGUGUCCCACCACCUGCCAACCCCUCUUUUUACGCUACUGCUACUCUCUGUUCAUCAUAUAUGCAUAGUCACUUUAACCAUACCUACAUGUACAUACUACCUCAAUAAGCCUGACUAAACAGUGUCUAUAUAUAGCCUUGCUAUUCUUAUUUUCAAAUAUCUUUUUACUGUUGUUUUAUUUCUUUACUUACCUACACACACACACACACCUUUUUUUCGCACUAUUGGUUAGAGCCUGUAAGUAAGCAUUUCACCUGUUGUAUUCGGCGCACGUGACAAAUACACUUUGAUUUGAUAGUGAUGGCUGCAUCAUGUUAUGGGUAUGCUUGUAAUCGUUAAGGACUGGGGAGUUUUUCAAGAUAAAAAGAGAAUGGCGCUAAGCACAGGCAAAAUCGUAAAGGAAAACUUGGUUGUCUGCUUUCCACCAGAAACUGGGAGAAGAAUUCACCUUUCAGCAGGACAAUAACCGGAAACACAAGCCAAAUUGACUCUGGAGUUGCUUACCAAGAAGACAGUGAAUGUUACGGAGUGGCCG